rnacentral:rRNA from 1 species
GACGAACCGAGCGAACGUUAUUCGGAAUCACUGGGCUUAAAGGGCGCGUAGGCGGGCGGCCGAGUCCGGGGUGAAAGCCCCCAGCUCAACUGGGGAAGUGCCUCGGAUACUGGUCGCCUCGAGGGAGAUAGGGGCGUGCGGAACUUCCGGUGGAGCGGUGAAAUGCGUAGAUAUCGGAAGGAACACCGGUGGCGAAAGCGGCGCGCUGGAUCUCUUCUGACGCUGAGGCGCGAAAGCCAGGGGAGCGAACGGG